GUAGGUGGGCAAGCGUUGUCCGGAAUUAUUGGGCGUAAAGCGCGCGCGGGCGGGUUCGUUUAAGUCUGAUGUGAAAGCCCACGGGCUCAACCGUGGAGGGUCAUUGGAAACUGGAGAACUUGAGUACAGAAGGGGAAAGCGGAAUUCCACGUGUAGCGGUGAAAUGCGUAGAGAUGUGGAGGAACACCAGUGGCGAAGGCGGCUUUCUGGUCUGUAACUGACGCUGAGGCGCGAAAGCGUGGGGAGCAAACAGGAUUAGAUACCCUGGUAGUCCACGCCGUAAACGAUGAGUGCUAAGUGUUACGGGGGGUUUCCGCCCCUUAGUGCUGCAGCUAACGCAUUAAGCACUCCGCCUGGGGAGUACGGCCGCAAGGCUG
rnacentral:rRNA from 1 species